rnacentral:rRNA from 1 species
UACGUAGGGUGCAAGCGUUUGUCCGGAAUUAUUGGGCGUAAAGAGCUCGUAGGCGGUUUGUCGCGUCUGCUGUGAAAACCCGCAGCUCAACUGUGGGCUUGCAGCUGAUACGGGCGGGCUGGGAUUCGGUAGGGGAGACUGGAAUUCCUGGUGUAGCGGUGAAAUGCGCAGAUAUCAGGAGGAACACCGGUGGCGAAGGCGGGUCUCUGGGCCGAUAUCGACGCUGAGGAGCGAAAGCGUGGGGAGCGAACAGG